CAGGACGAACGCUGGCGGCGUGCUAACACAUGCAAGUCGAACGGGGAUUAUUGAGCGGAAGGCUUCGGCCGAAAGGUUGGUAAUUCGAGUGGCGGACGGGUGAGUAACGCGUGAGCAACCUGUCCCAGACAGGGGGAUAACACUUGGAAACAGGUGCUAAUACCGCAUAAGACCACGGGGUCACAUGGCCCAGGGGUAAAAGGAGCAAUCCGGUUUGGGGUGGGCUCGCGUCCGAUUAGCCAGUUGGUGAGGUAACGGCCCACCAAAGCGACGAUCGGUAGCCGACCUGAGAGGGUGAUCGGCCACAUUGGAACUGAGAGACGGUCCAAACUCCUACGGGAGGCAGCAGUGGGGAAUAUUGGGCAAUGGGCGAAAGCCUGACCCAGCAACGCCGCGUGAGUGAAGAAGGCCUUCGGGUUGUAAAGCUCUGUUAUAGUUGACGAAGGAAGUGACGGUAGGCUAUAAGGAAGCCCCGGCUAACUACGUGCCAGCCGCCGC
rnacentral:rRNA from 1 species